rnacentral:tRNA from 1 species
GUCGGAGUGGUGGAACGGGCAGACACGUACGUUUGAGGGUCGUAUCCGAAUAGGGUGCGGGUUCAAGUCCCGCCUCCGACACCA